rnacentral:rRNA from 1 species
CCUACGGGAGGCAGCAGUGGGGAAUUUUGGACAAUGGGCGCAAGCCUGAUCCAGCAAUGCCGCGUGAGUGAAGAAGGCCUUCGGGUUGUAAAGCUCUUUUGUCAGGGAAGAAACGGCUGAGGCUAAUAUCCUCGGCUAAUGACGGUACCUGAAGAAUAAGCACCGGCUAACUACGCGCCAGCAGCCGCGGUAAUACGUAGGGUGCAAGCGUUAAUCGGAAUUACUGGGCGUAAAGCGUGCGCAGGCGGUUUUGUAAGUCUGUCGUGAAAGCCCCGGGCUUAACCUGGGAAUUGCGAUGGAGACUGCAAGGCUUGAAUCUGGCAGAGGGGGGUAGAAUUCCACGUGUAGCAGUGAAAUGCGUAGAGAUGUGGAGGAACACCGAUGGCGAAGGCAGCCCCCUGGGUCAAGAUUGACGCUCAUGCACGAAAGCGUGGGGAGCAAACAGGAUUAGAUACCCUGGUAGUCCACGCCCUAAACGAUGUCUACUAGUUGUCGGGUCUUAAUUGACUUGGUAACGCAGCUAACGCGUGAAGUAGACCGCCUGGGGGNGGUACGGUCGCGAGAGUUAAACGUACGAAAGAAGUUAGACGGCGUGAGACGUAGCCGACGGACGACGACGAGGGGAGGAGG